UACGUAGGGGGCAAGCGUUAUCCGGAUUUACUGGGUGUAAAGGGAGCGUAGACGGCUGUGCAAGUCUGAAGUGAAAGGCAUGGGCUCAACCUGUGGAGUGCUUUGGAAACUGUGCAGCUAGAGUGUCGGAGAGGUAAGUGGAAUUCCUAGUGUAGCGGUGAAAUGCGUAGAUAUUAGGAGGAACACCAGUGGCGAAGGCGGCUUACUGGACGAUGACUGACGUUGAGGCUCGAAAGCGUGGGGAGCAAACAGG
rnacentral:rRNA from 1 species